rnacentral:snRNA from 1 species
AUACAUAUCUGGCAGGGGUGCUACAGUGAUCAUGAAGGUGGUUUUCCCAGGGCAAGGCUAAUCCAUUACACUCUGGAAGUGCUGACCCUUGUGAUUUCCUGAAAUGUGGAAAACUCAACUGCACAAUUUGUGGUAGUUGGGGACUGUGUUUGUGCUCUCCCCCA